UUUCCGUAGGUGAACCUGCGGAAGGAUCAUUAAUGAGUUGUCAUGGGGUUCGAUGCUGGCAGCCAAUUUUUGGAUGCAUGUGCUUGCCCUAACAAUCAUCUUCCAAACACCUGUGCACAUUUUUGAGGGAGUCUUGAGUUGGUUGCCGCUCUUAGGUGAUUUUCUCACAUUCCCUUAAAUCAUUAUACGCUAUUAACAAUGUUGAACGUGCUCUGUGCCGCAAGGCUAUUAAUAUAAUACAACUUUUAACAACGGAUCUCUUGGCUCUC
rnacentral:misc_RNA from 1 species